rnacentral:misc_RNA from 1 species
GGAAUUCCGAAACGUGGCCACCUAGAAAAAGACCGCAAUUUGUGAGGCGGAUAAUAAUUUAAGCUCCAAAAUUUCAGUACCCAUGCCAAAUCAUGAGGACCAAGUUUCAGUGUUGGGAAAACUGACAAGCUAUCAGGCUUCAUUGCACCACAGCCAGCUGCAUCCAAGACACUUUGAUCACCCACAGAACAUAAGUUUGACUGAUUAUCAUGCAUAGGAAGAGAUGGCCUAAGCAGAAGAUUCCACCUUAGUGACAGAGAAGUUGAUCUAAACGGGUCAUAAACUUUUUCACGGGGCACUCCUUCACUGGGAAAUGCAAAUAAAUAAUGGUUUAAAGGAUUUCCAGAAUCACAUUCCCACUCCAUUAUCACUUCAAGACUAAAGGCCGGGGCCUCUAUGAAAGUAGAGGAAAAUCCAGAGGGGCACUUCAAAUUAGAGUUCUUCAACAAGCUCUCCAAGCUGCUCAGUAGAAUCUUGAAGUCCUUUGCAAAACAAUAAACACGACCAUCUGACUGCUGGAGUUCCAUAUACCCAGAUCUUAUCUGAAGCUUGUCAGACUUUUCAUAAGGAUCAGUACUGGCAAGAAUAUUCCAUUGGGACUCGGAAAAAUAUAAGGAAGUAUUUCCAUGAAUGUAGUUUCUCAUUUCAUCCCACCAUGGCAAGCUCUUUUCUUUUUUCAGUGGAGGAGGGUCUGGACUUGGAUUUCUUAUGCUCAAAUUGGCCCUACGCAUGGCCACUGUGAAAGCAUAGCUAAUAUCAGCAAGAGCUGGUUCAAACCCCACUCCAUAGGAAAUUUCUGCUUUCUGAAAAUGUAAGGGCAAAUCAGAGUAUGUUUUCAUUGGUGGAGUUGUCCCACUAGCAGAACGGAGCAAACGGACCUUCCUCCAUCUCCCAAUGUAUACAUUUU